GGUUGUAUUCUUAUUGGCCCACCAAGUUGUUUUGAUUAAUAUUUGAGUUCUAUUGUUGAAAUUGAUUAUGGUUGUCCUAUCAUGGUAGGCAUGGUAAUGAAGUCACCUGCAUGGCUCUUCAUUUCAAAUAACUGAGUCGUCAGGAAGGCAUACUUGGUGCAUGACUGGCUGAUUAUGAUCACCACAUUCCAUCAAUUAUUUUCUUUAGGUUUUAAAUAAUUGCAAUAUUUCUGGAAAGAUCUUGUUCUUUUCUAUCUUAAAAUUCUUAAGCUAUUUGUUUUUGUAAAUCCUUUUUGAUACUUAACCCAAUAUAAAGUUUGGACAUUUCCUUUAAGAAACACAUACUUGAACCCAAUUGAUCAUUUUUCUAGACAAGUUACAUCUUUAAGGUAAGGAUACGUCCCCAAAAAAUAAGGAAAUAUAUAUAUGAAAAAAAAAAAAAACCCGAUUAUCUAUAGGCACAAAAGGUCAAGCCGUUCUUAUGAGCUGGCAAGUAAGGAGAAAGAACCAUGAUUGUUAGGUCAUUCUCAAGGGUUAGGCUGCACAUACUCUUUUAAAUUGCCACUAGAAAAAGACAUUUAGUUUGUUAUUAUAAGCCUAUGAAAUAUGUUAAAACAGUGGAUUUGAGCCUAUGGAUGAGUGAUGAAAGCAUUUCCAACAAAAGAUAGAACCACUUCUAUUUCAUUUUGUGAAGAAAAAUUAUUCUUGGAAGUUAUCUUCCAUAAAUCAUUGCGCUUUCCAAUUGUUUUCUACUUGUAUCCAUCAUGUAUUAGAAUGCACCAAAAUUCCACAAAGGGAUGGUAUACUAGAAAAAGAUAUUUCCUUCCAUUUCUUGCCUGACUCACCACCAUGCUCGCUCUCACCCCAAAAUAGUUUGUGUGCUACUCUGAAGUGCUCGGCUUCUUUUGCUAGAAGCUCUCCACACCUCAGACCAUCACCCAAAAGUUCAUUCGCUUGUAGGUUGGUUAUUUCGGUUGCUCACCAUGUGCUCUCUGUUCGGUUCUUAAGAAUGUAUAGGAAGAGAAAAGAUACAAAAUUUCACGAGGAUUUUGAAAUUUCUAAGGACAUUCUUGGAACAAGCCUGUUCGUGUUGUUUCAUGCUUCAUGAAAGUUAAUCUUUGGAAACUCUCUUGGGAAAGUGUCACUAGAAUCUGCCGAAAGCCACCUUCGCAAUCUGCCCAAGGUCAUCGUCUUUCAAGUGAAGUUUCUUGUCUUUUCUCUCUCUAACUUCUCACUUUAGAAAUGGGUUUUUCUUUGAUUGGAUAAUGGUAAUAGAAACGUGUGUUCCAAGUUGGGUAUUUUAAACAAACAAUAAAAUUUUGAGAGCUGGGUUUGAUUUUUUUUUUUUUUCAAAAUGUUUGUUUGUUAAGAUUUGGGAAUCGGAUUGCGAUUCUUUGUCGGUUUGGUUUGUUUCUAACGGGGUUCAUUGUGAAGAAGACCUUGCUUUCUUGUCUUUUCUGCUCUUGGAUAUCCAUGGAAACGGUUUUGGACUCUGUUUUUGGAGUUGGCAUUGACUAUGACUUUGGCUUCUUAAACACGAGGACUAGAAAUAUUGGAGUUGAUUUCAGCAGAGUGAUUGGGGACUGAGGCUUGGAGCUGGGCUCAGUUGGGAGAAUUUGUCUUCUGGAAAUAGGAUCAUUAGGAGACAGAGAAGGGAUUGGCUAUGAGAAAUAGAGGCCAGAUUUGUUGGCCAAGUUGUUGUGGUGGUAUUUAGUGGCUGAUAGUUUUAGUGCAGGGAUGAUCCUAUUUCUAGAAGAAUUGACAAAAAUGUUUCUUAUAUUCCUAUUUCCGAUUUGUGUGAAACAGUAGCGAUUUGUGCCCUUUGUCUUAUUUUUACUUUUUAUAUGCAGGGAUGACUGUUGCUUCAUUUUGUUACUUACAAUUCUUUCCACCUCCAUAUGAUGUAGAUGGCAAUGCCGUCUCUUCUUUUUUACUUAACCAAUGGUUAUGUACAAUAUGCUCUAAUAUCUCUUUGCAAAAUUUUCCUGUCAACAUCUGUGCAAUGAUCUAACUUUCUGGUGACUUUGAUGAGAAGCUUAUAUUUGAUAAGGCUUUGACUUUGAUGAGAACCCACGUUUUGUCCCAUGUACGCAGUUUUAUGCUGUGACUUUGAUGAGAAGCUUCCUCCAUUCCCAUCAGAUGAACCUGGUGGGAAAGAAAUCACAUUUAAGCGAGUGCUCUUGAAUAAUUGUCAGGAGGCGUUUGAAGGAGCUGACAACCCGAGGGCAGAAAUCAGGCAUAUGACUGCCCCUGUGCAAGAAAUGGAAUGCAGGGAUAAAGAACGGAUGAUUUAGCUGUGAACUCUAGGAAGCAUAUGCCUUAUUGGGGAGCUUUUGAAGCAGAAGAUGGUGCCUGAAAAGAUUGUCCACCAUAUUGUUCAGGAGCUUUUGGAACAAGAUGCUAAAACAUGCCUAGCAGAGGAGAAUGUUGAUACGAGGCUCAUAGGUUUUGGGGGUAUGAUGCUUGGAAUGCCGGGCCUUGAUACUUAAAAUUGGGAGGUUCCUCAGUCCCAAUCAAUGCCAAGGAACAAUGGUCCUGGUCUGAUCCAGUCUGCCGGACAUGUGCAGCUAUCUUUCAUCAGCAAAACACCCUCCUAUAAAUUCAAAGUGUGGAGGAGCUAAAAGCCCCAGCGUAUCACCCAGAGGUUGUUAAAGAAGCCAUUCCCCUUGCACUGGAAAAGAGCCCACCGUUUGUUGGAUGACAUUGGCAUUGCUUUGUCGAAAGCACCAAAAACAUUUGGUUAGGUUCUUGGGCAGUUGGUUCUGGCAGUGAAGGGAGCUGAGAUUCAGGCUUGUGAGAGUUACUUGGUCAUCAUGGGAAGCUAUCUAGCAUUUGGCAACUGCAGAUUUUGAAGAGUAGCCUUAUUUUGCUUCCCAUAUCUCUCUUUUGAAAAUUUUCCUACCCCUGUUUUAUCAUGUAA